AGAUGGGUCAUUUAGGGAUCUUAUUAGAAGACAGAUUACGACUUAAUAAAUCUGGGAGGGGCCUGGGAUUGUGCAAUUCUGAACGUUCCCAGAUGGUGCUGAU
rnacentral:pre_miRNA from 1 species